GGUCGGGUAGACCGCUGAGCCCGCGCCGGGGCUGCCCGGGCGAGCGGCUGAGGCCGGCGAGGCCUGUGGCGAGAGGGUUAGGUGAGGGUUGCUGAGCGCUCUUCGGCGCGCCGCCCGGUGCCGGGGCUGUGAGGAGGUGACCCAGUGGUGUACCCGCAGGUUGUUCCGUCCCUUCCCGAGCUGCGUGUGGUAAAACACGCGGAUUCCAUGUCUUUCCUUGUAAGUAAACCCGAGCGGAUUAGGCGGUGGGUGUCUGAAAAGUUCAUUGUUGAGGGCUUAAGAGACUUUGAACUGUUUGAAGGCAGAGGCUUUGAAGAUUUAAUGGUGGUGAACCUGGCUAGGUAUAAACCCACAGGAGGGUAUGUCACAGUCAGAAGAGUGAACCUGGAGGCUUGCACCAAUGAAAUGGUCACGUUCUUGCAGGGGGAACUCCAUGUUUCCAAACUCUUCAACCACCCUAACAUCGUGCCAUACAAAGCAACUUUCAUAGCUGACAACGAGCUGUGGGUGGUGACAUCUUUCAUGGCCUACGGUUCUGCAAAAGAUUUAAUCUGUACCCAUUUCAUGGAUGGAAUGAGUGAACUGGCCAUUGCAUACAUCCUCCAAGGUGUACUCAAAGCACUGGACUACAUCCACCAUAUGGGCUAUGUACAUAGGAGUGUUAAAGCCAGCCACAUCCUGAUCUCUGUGGAUGGCAAAGUGUACCUCUCCGGCCUGCGAAGCAACCUCAGCAUGAUCAACCACGGGCAACGGCUCAAAGUUGUUCAUGACUUUCCCAAAUACAGCAUCAAAGUCCUGCCUUGGCUCAGUCCUGAAGUCUUGCAGCAGAAUCUGCAAGGUUAUGAUGCAAAAUCUGACAUCUACAGCGUGGGGAUAACAGCCUGUGAGCUGGCAAAUGGACAUGUACCAUUUAAAGACAUGGCUUCUACUCAGAUGCUCCUGGAGAAGAUGAAUGGGACUGUUCCCUGUCUUCUGGACACCACCACCAUCCCUGCUGAUGAGCUGAGUAUGAAAACCUCCCGUUCAAGUGCUAAUUAUGGGAUGGCUGAGAGCAUGGCCACCAGCAAUGUGAGAGCAGCCAACGGGGAGCCAAGCCUGCACCCCUACCUUCGGACCUUCUCCACCUACUUCCACAACUUUGUAGAGCAAUGUCUGCAGAGGAACCCUGAUUUCAGGCCGAGCGCAGGCACUCUGUUGACUCACCCCUUUUUCAAGCAGAUCAAGCACCGUGUGUCCGAAGCGCUGCCCGAGCUGCUGCGCCCCGUCACUCCCAUCACCAACUUUGAAGGGACAUGGCCUCAGGAUCCCAGUGGCAUUUUUGGGCUGGUGUCAAACCUGGAGCAGCUAGAUGUGGAUGACUGGGAAUUCUAGAGGGGGGAAAAAAAAGCAACCCCACCAGAGACUUAUUACCUGGUUGUGGACAUUGUAAUUUAUUGGUCCUGUUCAUCAAAGAUGACGAAUGUUGCACGUAGAAGAGUUUACAGGUCCUUGGGAAGGAACUUUGCAACUGCCUGUUUACUUCAGUAACCUGAAAACAAAAAAGGCCAGACCUGAACUGGGAAAGGAACAACCCCUAAGGACCAAGAGCACCGACUUCAUGCAGCUGAGCACAGACUACAGCCCAGGUCCCUGACAUGGUUUGACAUGACAGCCUUUUCUGGUAAGGGGGAAGGGGCUGUAAAGAUGGCUCCUGUAAGAAGUUGCUCGCAACUCUCCCCAGCUCAGAGACAGACCCACUUCUGGGGCUGAGCCAAUUAGACGCCUCCACAAUCACUUUUUUGAGAAGAAGCCGGAAGGGGAAGUUUCUUCCUCCAUCUUCUUUCCUUCUUCUGCCCCUUCUUCCUUCUUCUGGCUGGUGGUGGUGCAAGGAGUAGGAACGGUGAGAGAAACAACCAUGCGGACUCCAAGGUCAGUGACGAAAGAGAGGAGGAGGUGUGCUGGAGCAGAGACUCCCCUGCAUUCUAUGGAGAGAACUGGUGAAGCUGAGAUUUAUUUGCAUUUCUUUAAAGACCCCGCAUCAGCGGUAGAGACUCAUUUUGAUAAUGAGCCCGCAUCAGGGGCAGACUUAUUUUGCUAAAGCUGACCCCGGACCAGGGGCAGUGAUUCACUUCAUUAAAGGCCCCGAGCCAGGGACAGUGACUAUGGCCAGAGGAGGCCGUGUUCUGAAGUAGGGGCCCUUUAUCACUAUGGCCGGAGCAGGCCUUGUCCUGAGAGAGGGACCCUGCAACUGCAGAAACUGCAACCGCGGUGAAGAAUCCAAGCCAGAGAUAUUCACCAAGGACUGUGUCCCGUGUGAGGGACCCUGUAUGGGCAGAAGCUGCAGCUGCUGGGAACAACCCACACCAGAGAAGUUUGUUAAGGACUAUGUUCCGAGGGAGGAACCCCGUGUUGGAGCAGGGGAAGAAUGCCAGGAGUCGUCCUCAUCUGAGAAGACAGAAGCAGCAGAGCCCAUCUGUGAGAGACUGACCACAUCCCCCAUUCCCUGCCCCCCUGAGCCAUUGUGGGGGGAGGAGGUAGAGAUAUCGGGAGCAGUGAGCUGGGCCCGGGAAGAAAGGAGGGAUGGGGGAGGGAGAUCUUAAAGUGCUGGUUGUAAUUUUCUCAUCAUCCUACUCCCUUUUUUUUUUUGCUUUUAUUCUGUUCUGUUUCUUGUAGAAUAAACUUUCCUACUUUCCUCUCUAA